rnacentral:rRNA from 1 species
UCAGGUGUCUUCGGACGCCGGCGUACGGCUCAGUAACACGUAGGCAACCUACCCUCAGGACUGAGAUAACCCCGGGAAACUGGGGCUAAUAUUAGAUAGAUAAAAGGUACUGGAAUGUUCUUUUAUCCAAAGCUUUUGCGCCUGAGGAUGGGCCUGCGUCCGAUUAGGUUGUUGGUGGGGUAAUGGCCCACCAAGCCUACGAUCGGUACGGGCAGUGAGAGCUGAAGCCCGGAGUUGGGGACUGAGACAAGGCCCCAGGCCCUACGGGGCGCAGCAGGCGCGAAACCUCUGCAAUGCGGGAAACCGUGACAGGGGGAUCCCAAGUGCUCAUGCAUUGCAUGGGCUGUUCUUUGGUCUAAGUAACCAGAGGAGUAAGGGCUGGGCAAGACCGGUGCCAGCCGCCGCGGUAAUACCGGCAGCUCAAGUGGUAGCCGCGAUUAUUGGGCCUAAAGCGUUCGUAGCCGGAUAAGUAAGUCUUUGGUUAAAUCCUGCAACUUAACUGUGGGAAAUCUAGGGAUACUGCUUGUCUUGAGACCGGGAGAGGUUAGAGGUACUCCUAGGGUAGGGGUGAAAUCCUGUAAUCCUAGGGGGACCACCUGUGGCGAAGGCGUCUAACUGGAACGGGUCUGACGGUGAGGGACGAAACCUAGGGGAGCGAGCCGGAUUAGAUACCCGGGUAGUCCUAGGCGUAAAUGAUGCGAGUUAAGUGUGGGGGCAUCUACGAGAUGGCCCUGUGCUGUAGGGUAGCCGUUAAACUCGCCGCCCGGGGAGUACGGUCGCAAGGCUGAAACUUAA